rnacentral:rRNA from 1 species
UACGUAGGGUGCAAGCGUUGUCCGGAAUUAUUGGGCGUAAAGAGCUCGUAGGCGGCUUGUCGCGUCGGCUGUGAAAACCUGGGGCUCAACCCCGGGCCUGCAGCCGAUACGGGCAAGCUAGAAUUCGGUAGGGGAGACUGGAAUUCCUGGUGUAGCGGUGGAAAUGACGCAGAUAUCAGGAGGAACACCGGUGGCGAAGGCGGGUCUCUGGGCCGAUAUUGACGCUGGAGACGCGAAAGCGUGGGGAGCGAACAGG